AAGGCUUCAUAUCCCAAAUUGAUUUUGCUGGCACAAUUGUGUUGAUGUUUGUGUUUUGCAAUGUUUUAUAGAAGCCUAGAUUUUGUUCCCCUCGCUAUCCAGUGUUGUAAUAUAAUGCUCCAUUAGGACGUCGGGGAACAAUAUUC